rnacentral:rRNA from 1 species
UGGGGAAUAUUGGACAAUGGGCGCAAGCCUGAUCCAGCCAUGCCGCGUGAGUGAUGAAGGCCUUAGGGUUGUAAAGCUCUUUCGCCGGUGAAGAUAAUGACGGUAACCGGAGAAGAAGCCCCGGCUAACUUCGUGCCAGCAGCCGCGGUAAUACGAAGGGGGCUAGCGUUGCUCGGAAUCACUGGGCGUAAAGCGCACGUAGGCGGAUCGUUAAGUCAGGGGUGAAAUCCUGGAGCUCAACUCCAGAACUGCCCUUGAUACUGGCGAUCUCGAGUUCGAGAGAGGUUGGUGGAACUCCGAGUGUAGAGGUGAAAUUCGUAGAUAUUCGGAAGAACACCAGUGGCGAAGGCGGCCAACUGGCUCGAUACUGACGCCGAGGUGCGAAAGCGUGGGGAGCAAACAGGAUUAGAUACCCUGGUAGUCCACGCCGUAAACGAUGGAUGCUAGCCGUUGGGGGGUUUACCUCUCAGUGGCGCAGCUAACGCCUUAAGCAUCCCGCCUGGGGAGUACGGUCGCAAGAUUAAAACUCAAAUGAAUUGACGGGGUCAUAGCUG